rnacentral:rRNA from 1 species
AUUGAACGCUAGCGGCAGUCUUAACACAUGCAAGUCGAACGAGUGGCGGACGGGUAAGGAAUGUCUGGGACCAUGCCCGGUGGCGGGGGAUAACUACUGUAAACAGUAGCUUAUCCCGCAUACCCUCCGAUGUGCCCAGAUGGGAUUAGCUAGUAGGUGGGGUAACGGCGCACCGAGGCGACGAGCCCUAGCUGGUCUGAGAGGAUGACCAGCCACACGGGGACUGAGAGACGGUCCAGACUCCUACGUGAGGCAGCAGUGGGGAAUAUGGCACAAUGGGCGCAAGCCUGAUCCAGCCAUGCCGCGUGUAUGAAGAAGGCCUUCGGGUUGUAAAGUACUGUUGGCAGGGAAGCGGUACUCGCAGAAGAAGCACCGGCUAACUCCGUGCCAGCAGCCGCGGUAAUAC